GACGAACCGAGCGAACGUUGUUCGGAAUCACUGGGCUUAAAGGGCGCGUAGGCGGGCUGUCAAGUCUGGGGUGAAAUCCCGCGGCUCAACCGCGGAACUGCCUCAGAUACUGACGGUCUCGAGGGGGUAGGGGCGAGCGGAACUGAUGGUGGAGCGGUGAAAUGCGUUGAUAUCAUCAGGAACUCCGGUGGCGAAGGCGGCUCGCUGGACCCCUUCUGACGCUGAGGCGCGAAAGCCAGGGGAGCAAACGGG
rnacentral:rRNA from 1 species